AGAGGAAAACCCCACCUGGAGUAGCCAAAAAAAAAAAAAAAAGAGGCUCAUCCUUUUCUUUUUCAUGCAUUCCCCUCCCCUAGGCCCUCUCUCUCAUCUUUUAAGCAGAGAAGAAACUACAAGACACCUUCCUGUUGCUUCUUCGCACCCCCCUCCCCAAUGUCUCAGUAUCUGUGUCUCCUGCGGGGCCCAGUUUCUGCUUAAUGUGAUCCAUGUGCUUCUGUUCUUGCAGUCUUCAGAGCAGUGCUUUGUCGUCUUACCCUUGUGUAGUGUAUUUCACAGCAAUAUUUCGACAUACUGUGAUUUAUUCUUAAUAACGUUGCACUCAGGACCAAAGCCACAGCAAUAAACAUUGCUCAGAAAUGGCAAAGGGCUGUGGAGCAGUGCAUUGCUGAGGAGAUAGGGGUAAGGGAGGCAGCAGGACAAAACCUGUUUGUGAGUGGUGGGGCUGGAAAGCUCCCAUGUUCUUACAACAUCUUUGAGGAACAGCUCAGUGGUCUGAGAGUGACAGCCUGAGCCAUGGUGUUUGAUUUCGGGGUGUUCUGGAAGAAUCACAGAAACGUGUAGGUUGGAGAAGACCUUCAAAAUGAUCGAGUCCAACCAUCAGCCUGACCUAACGAGCCCCAUCCCUGAGCCACGCCACUCAGCACCACAGAAGGGCAAAUGUUAGAGGAUCACAGAAUCAUGAAGGUUGGAAAAGACCGCCCGGUCCAACCAGCAGCCCAUCCCCACCAUGCCCACUGAAUAGCCGCGCUGUAUGGGUAUUUUGGGGUUAGGUGCAGCAAAAAGCACACACAAAACAAACUCUAGCAACGUAAGUGUGAAUAGGCUGAAAAUGACUUCUGACAGACGGUACCGUGGCCGUGCUGUGAGCGUCACUCUGAACAGGAUGAAUUCUUGUACACUGCUUUUACCCGCUUGGUUUUAAAGCAACUUACAAAGGUUGAAUGCUAUUAUCUUCAGCGUAGGGCUUGUGAAAAUGGGGUGUGGAGAAGGAAAUCAGCCUGAGCGCAGGGCUUCUGGCUUCCUUCAGCUUGUGCUUGGUGCUCACCACGUCUGCCAGGUAGCUGAGCUGCUGUACCCCAUCUCCUACAGCACUGCAAAGUGCCAGGCAUCUUUUGCUUCUGAACUCUAAUUCAAAAUCAGUGCGAAGCCUCUCCAUCCCAUCCCCGCUCCCUGUUUUUCUUAGGACAGCUGAUGUUAGGGCCGCUCUGUCUCACAUGUACUCACAUCCCUCAUCUGCUCCAUGUACCACAGCCGGGCGCGUGGAUGAAAUACGCCGGUCGCCUUUGAAAUGCAUCGCCUCGGUGUGCAGCACUCACAUGAUGAGAAGUUUUAACUGCUUUGUUUACCACUUAAAUGCAGAUUUUAUUUUCACUGUCUUUGCUCCUUUGCAAGGCUUUUGGUGUGAACUUAAACAUGAAAAUCGUGUUCUUUAACAAUAUGUUAAAAGUGCUUAUAUGUU
ensembl:lncRNA